AUGGAGUUGAACCAAGUAACAUUGCAAAGGCAUAAUGAUAGUAGGAUCCACUUUGAAGUUGACUUAUUCGCUCGACCAAUCGUCGGAAUGUGUACGAGAUACCAUAAGGUCCCAAUAUCUCAAUAG
rnacentral:rRNA from 1 species